rnacentral:rRNA from 1 species
CCUACGGGUGGCAGCAGUGAGGAAUAUUGGUCAAUGGACGAGAGUCUGAACCAGCCAAGUAGCGUGAAGGAUGACUGUCCUAUGGGUUGUAAACUUCUUUUAUAUGGGAAUAAAACGUUCCACGUGUGGGAUUUUGUAUGUACCAUAUGAAUAAGGAUCGGCGAACUCCGUGCCAGCAGCCGCGGUAAUACGGAGGAUCCGAUCGUUAUCCGGAUUUAUUGGGUUUAAAGGGAGCGUAGGUGGAUUGUUAAGUCAGUUGUGAAAGUUUGCGGCUCAACCGUAAAAUUGCAGUUGAAACUGGCAGUCUUGAGUACAGUAGAGGUGGGCGGAAUGCGUGGUGUAGCGGUGAAAUGCUUAGAUAUCACGAAGAACUCCGAUUGCGAAGGCAGUUCACUGGACUGCAACUGACACUGAGGCUCGAAAGUGUGGGUAUCAAACAGGAUUAGAUACCCCAGUAGUC